rnacentral:lncRNA from 1 species
CCGCAACUUUUAUUUAGUUUUAAAUGUUAUUAUUGGUGGUGGCCCCAGGGGAAGGCUAGCAAAGAUUGUGGGUGAGGGGCAAGGCAGCCAUAAAUCUCUCCUGAUUAUUUGCUGCAAACCAGCCUCAGAUACUCACACCAUGAGCACCUGGAUAAGUCUCUGUUGUUGCCUGACCCUCAGAACCUGGCACAGUUCUGACCACCCAGGAGUUAUUAAGCUCAUGGUUUUGGGUUUCACAUGCUGACCUUAUUUUGCUGAACUGCUGGCUACUUUUAGGAUAAGAAAGAAGACUGCAAGUUGAGAAAUCAUAUCUCCAAGCCUCAAGGGAUCCUGUCAUGUGGAAAUGCUGAUCUGCUCUCCCAGCAAGCCUGGGUGGGCAUCCUCAAUCUUCUGCUUCCAAUCUGUGUGACCUGGGAUGCAUACAAAGGCAACGAGUGAGCAAGGGGCUGACCGAGGUCUUCCCAGACCCAGAACUUCACUGCCUCAUGGACUCAUCAAGCACGUCAUCAACUUCCAUCUGGAGAAGAACCAACAAUAUCAUUGAGAAAUAUUUGAUGACUAAAUAUAUAGAUGAAAGCUUCACCAGUUAAUCAUAACCUAUAACAUUGAUGACGGGAAUCCAGAAGUGUACUACUACAAAGCUUCCUUAAAGUUUCAGGACUGCUAUGUGCCUGGAGAAACCUCAGCCUUAAAUGGAGAGGAGGAUGGACAUGAAGCCCAGAAGGACAAUUUUUAAUCUGAAGGUAAGCUAAACAGAGAGAGAC